rnacentral:rRNA from 1 species
GAUGAACGCUAGCGACAGGCUUAACACAUGCAAGUCGAGGGGCAGCACAGGUAGCAAUACCGGGUGGCGACCGGCGCACGGGUGAGUAACGCGUAUGCAACUUGCCUAUCAGAGGGGGAUAACCCGGCGAAAGUCGGACUAAUACCGCAUGAAGCAGGGAUCCCGCAUGGGAAUAUUUGCUAAAGAUUCAUCGCUGAUAGAUAGGCAUGCGUUCCAUUAGGCAGUUGGCGGGGUAACGGCCCACCAAACCGACGAUGGAUAGGGGUUCUGAGAGGAAGGUCCCCCACAUUGGUACUGAGACACGGACCAAACUCCUACGGGAGGCAGCAGUGAGGAAUAUUGGUCAAUGGCCGAGAGGCUGAACCAGCCAAGUCGCGUGAGGGAUGAAGGUUCUAUGGAUCGUAAACCUCUUUUAUAAGGGAAUAAAGUGCGGGACGUGUCCCGUUUUGUAUGUACCUUAUGAAUAAGGAUCGGCUAACUCCGUGCCAGCAGCCGCGGUAAUACGGAGGAUCCGAGCGUUAUCCGGAUUUAUUGGGUUUAAAGGGUGCGUAGGCGGCCUUUUAAGUCAGCGGUGAAAGUCUGUGGCUCAACCAUAGAAUUGCCGUUGAAACUGGGGGGCUUGAGUAUGUUUGAGGCAGGCGGAAUGCGUGGUGUAGCGGUGAAAUGCAUAGAUAUCACGCAGAACCCCGAUUGCGAAGGCAGCCUGCCAAGCCAUUACUGACGCUGAUGCACGAAAGCGUGGGGAUCAAACAGGAUUAGAUACCCUGGUAGUCCACGCAGUAAACGAUGAUCACUAGCUGUUUGCGAUACACUGUAAGCGGCACAGCGAAAGCGUUAAGUGAUCCACAUGGGGAGUACGCCGGCAACGGUGAAACUCAAAGGAAUUGACGGGGGCCCGCACAAGCGGAGGAACAUGUGGUUUAAUUAGAUGAUACGCGAGGAGCCUUACCCGGGUUUGAACGCAUUCGGACCGAGGUGGAAACACCUUUUCUAGCAAUAGCCGUUUGCGAGGUGCUGCAUGGUUGUCGUCAGCUCGUGCCGUGAGGUGUCGGCUUAAGUGCCAUAACGAGCGCAACCCUUGCCACUAGUUACUAACAGGUAAAGCUGAGGACUCUGGUGGGACUGCCAGCGUAAGCUGCGAGGAAGGCGGGGAUGACGUCAAAUCAGCACGGCCCUUACAUCCGGGGCGACACACGUGUUACAAUGGCGUGGACAAAGGGAGGCCACCUGGCGACAGGGAGCGAAUCCCCAAACCACGUCUCAGUUCGGAUCGGAGUAUGCAACCCGACUCCGUGAAGCUGGAUUCGCUAGUAAUCGCGCAUCAGCCAUGGCGCGGUGAAUACGUUCCCGGGCCUUGUACACACCGCCCGUCAAGCCAUGGGAGCCGGGGGUGCCUGAAGUCUGUAACCGCGAGGAUCGGCCUAGGGUA